GACGAACGCUGGCGGCGUGCUUAACACAUGCAAGUCGAACGAUGAAGCCGGAGCUUGCUCUGGUGAAUUAGUGGCGAACGGGUGAGUAACACGUGAGUAACCUGCCCUUGACUCUGGGAUAACUGCUAGAAAUGGUAGCUAAUACCGGAUACGACCCUCGGCGGCAUCGCCAGGGGGUGGGAAGAAUUUCGGUCAAGGAUGGACUCGCGGCCUAUCAGCUAGUUGGUGAGGUAACGGCUCACCAAGGCGACGACGGGUAGCCGGCCUGAGAGGGUGACCGGGCACACUGGGACUGAGACACGGCCCAGACUCCUACGGGAGGCAGCAGUGGGGAAUAUUGCACAAUGGGCGCAAGCCUGAUGCAGCAACGCCGCGUGAGGGAUGACGGCCUUCGGGUUGUAAACCUCUUUUAGUAGGGAAGAAGCGAAAGUGACGGUACCUGCAGAAAAAGCACCGGCUAACUACGUGCCAGCAGCCGCUGUAA
rnacentral:rRNA from 1 species